rnacentral:ncRNA from 2 species
CCUAGCUUGACGGAGCGCGAGUAAUUUCUCGCUGAGAUCACCAAAAUGCAUGAUUAAUGAUGACAUUUGAUGGUGAGUACCGUUGAACCUGAUCAGGUUAAGACCUGCGUAGGAAUCAAGCCAUCUAAAAAC